UUUCCACAGAGCCGGGACCGAGCGAGCCGGUAGACGAUCACGGUAAGGGUAUCGUGCCUAGACAGAGACCGUCCGAGAUACUUUACAUUUUGUAAUUACAUACCCCUUAUAUAUAUAUAUAUAUAUAUAUCAUCUUUUGUACUUUGAUGAUGAUUAGGGAUGUUUGGAGCAAGUGUAUUAAAGAUACUUUAUGAUGUUAAAUGCAAAGGUUUAUUUUGGAGAUUUGAGAUAUAUAAAAGAAAUGAUGCAAAGAUUGUAAAAGAACUUCGAAGUUGAAUGCAUGUAUGUGAUUUAAAUUUAAUCAUAUUACUUGUUGAUGUUUAGUUUAGUACUUUCACUUUAGCUAUUUCUUGCCCUUGUGCAAGCAAUUAUUUUUGCUUCCGUAUGUGCAAAUUUUAUUCUAUUGAUGCUUGUUGUUGGGCCUUGGGCGGACAGGGGAGGCUCUGUCCGUUCGGCGUCUGUUCGACGGGUCCGAACCGGCCAAAUUGGACCGGGUUCGGGGCAUGACAGACGCCAGAAUUGUUAACGAGCUCAAAAGUAUGCUAGAUGAAUGCAAUUAUUUAGCCAAAUCAUUCAGAAUGGCAAGAGAUAGAUUUGUGCCAAAAGAGUAUCAAGACUUGAAAUUGAGACUAUUAAGAAAAAGAGGAACAGAUGGAAGAAGAUACAAUCUUCCAACCUCAUCUGAAGUGGCGGCUCUUAUUGUUAGAGAUAUUGAAAAGAACACUGUUGAAAGAGAUAUUGUAGUCGAAACUCAAACUGGCUUAUUACAACGAAUACAUGAACUACAUCCAUCUUAUCUUCCAAUGCAGUAUCUUUUGUUAUUUCCUUAUUGUGAAGAUGGAUAUAGAGAUGACAUUAAGAUUAGAGGAUCAGAAUCUUUUUCAUCCAAAAAGCGGAGGAGAGUGACAAUGAGAGAAUACUUUUGUAACGAACCGAAACUUGAUAGUGAACAUUGGACUUUAGCCAAAUUGACUAGAGCAUCCAAGAGAAAAAGUUGGACGAAAUCAAAUUAACAUUCCAACAAUCUUGGAAGGGUUAAAAAUGAAUUCCAAAAGGGUUAGGAAGGUUUUAGCAUCGAUCGGCGUGAAAUAGAAUCGAAAGGAUGCAAAAACAGAAGUCUGGAGCUUUUGUACCAGUACAACAUUGUACCUGUACCGGUACAAAAGUGCAGACCGAGAGAAACUGCUCUCGGGUUUGCUUCUGCGUGAUCGUGUAACCAGUAACACCCAGCCUGUACCGGUACACAAUGAACCUGACAGCAAAAUAAGUCUGCUGCAAAUAUAAUUAUUGUGAGGGUUUUAUUGCAAUUGUUACAACAUGUAAAUACCCCAACACCCCUCCCCACUCUCUCCCAUAGCCAAACACACCCCUCCUCUCAUUUUUCUCCCUCUCUCUCUCUAGAAUCUCUCCCCCAAAGCUAAAGGAGGUGGAUUUGGAGGAGGAAUCUUGAAGGACUUAGGGUUUUGAAGACUUGGGGACUCUCCUACAAGGUGGAUCUUGGAGAGCUUGUCACGACCCGCCCCGAAACCGCUACCAAUUUGGUCCGGUUCGGGCGCGCCGAACGGACGCCAAACGGACAGCACCUCCUCUGUCCGCCCAAGGCUCAAACAAACAAGAUCAUGCAUACAAGUUGCCCAGGAAAAACUUGACAUACAUACAUGAUCAAUGCAAGCGAGUAACGAGAGCACAACCAGUGCUAAACAUAUAAGAGCAAGCAUCACAAAUAUAAAUAAGUGAACGAAAGAGAGAUUUCUAACUAUUACAUCCAUUCAACCUUUUUACAUUGCAUUGAUUUACAUUUUAAGCUUUCAAAACAUAAACAUAAAGUUUACAAUCUUUCCAAAACACCUCACCACCUAUACAUCAUCUACGCUCACAUACAAAAGGUAGCUCUAAUGCAUAAUGGAAAGUCACUACACUAGGGCGCUACGCCCUUACCGCGAUCAUCUGCCGGUCCGCUCACGUGUGUACCUGUACCCCAAAACCACACGGGGUGAGAACUAUAAAAAUAUAGUUCCCAGUGGGUUCGGCCGCCGACUCCGCCGAUCUUCCCACUAGGUCUAAGCUGGCACAGAUAGAUAGAUAGAGAUAUAGAUGAUAUAAACAGCUACUAUAUCUACUAUGCCAUCAAAUGCAAGGAAUGCAUGCAAUAUCAUUUAUCAUGCUAGUAUGCUUUAACAAUGUAAUGAAUACAAAUACGACACAGUUAUGCAAUCCACUAACAUAUACUAUGUCUAAUCAGGGUAUGAAUGCAAAUCCACUUAUGCUAUUCAUGUCAUUACCCAAUCCACUAGGCUACCCCACCUAAGAUCUCAAAUCUCAUAGGUGAGGAGCUACCCCGCUCUUAUCUCACCCGUCUCACAUCUCAAAGGUCGUAGAUGAAGAGCUACCCCGCUCUAAUCUCAUAGAUAAUGAGCUGCCCCGCUCAAUCUCAUAGAGGAAAGGCUACCCCGCCCUUCGCCCCAACUCACGUCCCAGUCCAAUGGGUGAAGAGCUACCCCGCUCGUAUCCUACCCGAUGAGCUACCCCGCUCAUAAGCUACCCCGCUCGUGUGACAACUCCGGAGUACACUGCUUAUGUGGAGCGACCACCACAAGCUCAAAACAGACUAUGUGAGUAUGAUUCAAUCUUCGCCAACUGAGGAUACCCUAUCAACUAGAGUUAACAAACACUCGAAAGCCCACCUAUCCCUAGGUACAUGUCAAGUGUCUCAAUUGCACUAAGGUCUCAUCCAACGUGUCAUGACUAGGAAACUCACUUAUUCCCUAUGUUCAAUGCCAUAGUGUUUCUUUUACACUAAGUUCCAAUGCCACUCGUCAUGUAUUUAACAUUAUUUACAUGCCACUCGUCCAAGUUAUAAGUGUUUUCUAUACACUAGCUCAUAUGUCAUUGGUUUUCGUCACCAAGUUCAAGUUCACCAAUUCUUAUCACUAUAGGAUCUCAUAUUACAACCCUAAUCCUCAUGCAUUCGAGGUUCAAGUGUCGAAUCCACAAUGCUACACUACUAGACAUGCAUGCAAGGAAGUAGAAAUGCUACUAUACAUAUAUCCUAUAAUGCAUAAGAACCAUAAGUGCAAUAUGACCAAAAAUCUAAUUCGGACAUAGGAAGAAGCCCGGUUGCUUCAGGAUGGACACCCCCUACCUUUAGGUGAUGCCACGAGCCCACGAUUCCGAUUUCGCGAUUUUAGGAAGCUUUCGCCGCGAGCUGCGGCAAUCUGUACCUCAACAAGCCUUUUCUUCAAUAUCUUUGCACCCGCUCGACGAAUCGACGAACCGACUUCGCCAACGCGUCGGAAUAUCUAGCAAUUUGGCUUGUAUAGGUUCAAUUUAGAUCAAACCCUCACAUAUUGCAAAAUCCCAUUUUGGAGCCCUAGGUUACAACUAUGCAAGAAAUCACCAUUUAGCUUCAAGAUUCAAGCAUUAAUCCUCUAUUUAGCAUCUAGGAGUUCUACUAAAUCCAUUCUUAGAGCACAUAAUCGAAGCCCUAAAAUUCUACCAUUAAAGGGCAUCAAAGCUUACCUCUCAAGCAAGCUCCAAUGGAGAGGAAGAAGAUGAAGGAGAUGAAAAUCAACUUCCAAGCUUGCUUCUCCACCAAAUCCUUCUCUUGAUUUCACCUUCAAGAGAGAGAAUAAGAGGGUUUUUCUUUUUCUUCUUUGGUUGCAAGUGUGAGGGAGAGGAGAAGGUGUGUGCGUGUGUGUGUGUACGCAUGCAGCCAGCCACCUAUAGGUGCUGUAACAAUUGCAUAAAACCCCCUCUCACACCUAUUACAACUUGCAGUUUCACAGUUCGGAACAGUCGGAGCCCUUCUGAAUAUCCAUUUGCUCUCAAAUUUCGCAGUCAGGCUCGGUUUAACGUACUGAGCAAGAAUAUAUCUUAAGUUUUCAGUUUCGACCCUGUUUGGUUACCGAAAGCUGUGCCGAACUGUAAUCUUUAGCAGAUAGCAGUUCAAUUUUUAUUUUUUACCUUUCGGGCGUCAGAAUGACAUGAAACUUUAAAUAUAGCCUCAUAAAAAUAUUUUUGACAUAUCCUCCAGUUUUCAUAAUUUUCUGACACUGCAUUUUCUGCUAAUUUAUCUGUCUCGUUUCACACAGAAAAUUCUAAAUCUUCUGUUUUCGCUCCGACUUCAACACGGGUCAUUCCAGACUUAUAUUUUACUUCUAUAAGUCCAAUAAAAAUAGUAUCUCACACUAUUUUUAUUUAUAUUUAUUUUUAUAUUAAAAAUCCAGCAUACUACAUCCACGGUAACUUCAUAAUUUUAGAAGUUCGGUACCUUACCGAGCUUGUGGCUGAGGUAAGGUUUUAUGAAAGAUUGAGUCUAGGGUUUAGCUUUGUGAUCUAGAAAGUUAGGUUUUGAUCUUCUCUCAUGUAUAGAAACCUAGUGGAGACUAUGAAUACAUGAAAACUCAUGUUUUCUUGGUGAGCUCUCAUGGUUGAUCUUUAGGGUUUGUAGUAGAUGCCCUAGAAAAGAGUUAGAUGGUCCUAGAUGUGCUUCUAGAUGUUAGACAAGCUAGUUUUUUCCUACUUUAGAGAUACAAAAAUAGCAUAUGUUGCUAUAUGCUAUAUUAGGGCUCCAAAUUGGGGCUUUUGUCCAAGAUUGAUUUAAAAGCAAAUUAACCUUAUAGAAACCUAAUUAGGGGUAUUUCUAACCAGAAUAUGGACUCGGUUUGACAAUCCGAUGAGUGUAUGCGAAAAUAUUAACAAAAACGUCAUUUUUGGUACAAAUAACCGCAGCACGCGGAAUAGGCACCCAAAAAUUUCAAGAAUUGAACCGUAGCACCCUUGUAACCAUAUAAGGUGGGUGGUGCAUUCCGAAAACGUUGAAUUUUCUUUUAUGUCUAAAGUGUCAUUUUUUAGCAUAAGUGUAUAUUGAGCAUUGUGCAUGAUAGGGUUAAUUGAGAGCUUCUAUUUGCAUGUUGUGAGUACAAAUGCAUGAAAAAAUGAUUGUAAAAGAAUUGGAACUUGUGUAACCCUAUGUAUGCAUGAAUAAUGACAAGAACCUAGAAAAGGCAUUGAACAAAAUGACAUUAUGACAUAUGGAUUGUGUGACGUUUCUAAAUACAAUGAGUACUAGAGAUGGACUCGUAGUAGAGUGGCAUUAGUGAAUGCAUUGAAUGCUAGAGUUGAACACUUAGAGAACAAGUGCGGCAUUAGUAAACAAGUACAAAGAACAAAGUAGUGUAUAUAACACUAGUGAAAGUUAGAGAAUGCAAGUAAAAAGAGAUAGUGACAUUAUGACAUAACAACCUUAUAGUUAAGGGUCAUAUGAGCAUUGCUUCCUUAUAGUUAAGGAAUGGAUUGAAAUUGGAAUCCUUAUAGUUGAGGAUUGGAUCAUACUCGCCUAUUAGUCCUUGCUCGGAGGGCGGUAGCUCCCCCUCGGGCGAUGAGCUCCGGAGUAGUCAUCACUGGGUCGUAGGAGUUUCUCUCCAGAGGACGGUCCUGUCGGGUUGUAAGAGUUUCUUCCCGAUAGUAGGGAUUUGGGUUGGUAAAUUUGUUGAGGGCGAAACCUACGGGUUAGCCUAGCGAUUGGGUAUUGGAAAGUGACCUUGCAUUCAUCAUGGGCAUUUCAUUGAGCAUAUGAUUGAUUAUAUAUUGUUCAGGCAUAUUAGCUGCAUUUGUUAGUUUGUUACUAUAUAUUCUUUCUUGUAUUAUGCCUGAUUUACACCUAGUGGAAAAGCCGGUGAGGUCGACUGCCGAACCCACUAGGAACUUUGUUGUAGUUCUCACCCCACUAUUUCCACAGAGUCGGGACCGAGCGAGCAGGCGGAUGAUCGCGGUAAGGGUAUCGCACCGUAGACAGUGACUACCCUAGUUAGUUUUAUUUUGCUAGCUGCAUACCCUUAUAUAUCAUCUUUUGUACUUGAUGAUUUUAGUUGUAUUAAAGAUGUUUAAAUGAAUGAUGUAAAAGAAUUUCAUAGUUAAAUGCAAGUGGUUAUAUUUUGAGGAAUAUGUGAUGUAUAAAAGAAAUGAUGCAAAGAAUGUAUGGAAUUUUAUUAAAGUUGAACGCAUGUAUGUGAUUUAAA
rnacentral:lncRNA from 1 species